UACGGAGGAUGCAAGCGUUAUCCGGAAUGAUUGGGCGUAAAGCGUCCGCAGGUGGCUGUGUAAGUCUGCUGUUAAAUCGUGAGGCUCAACCUCAUAAAGGCAGUGGAAACUACACGGCUAGAGUGCGUUCGGGGCAGAGGGAAUUCCUGGUGUAGCGGUGAAAUGCGUAGAGAUCAGGAAGAACACCGGUGGCGAAAGCGCUCUGCUAGGCCGCAACUGACACUGAGGGACGAAAGCUAGGGGAGCGAAUGGG
rnacentral:rRNA from 1 species